GUAAAUUAAGGUAUAUUCAGCAAAUAAACGUGUACAGGAUGUUAGGUUUUUUGCUAUGGCAUUGAUGAAGAAGAGGAAAAGACAUGGUCCUAAGAUAGAGCCUUGUGGUACACCAGAACUAACCGAACGCUGCUGGAGGAAACACCGUCAAUCACACUGAUUAGUUCCUGCCGCUGAAGAAGUUUUUAAUCCAAUUGUUAGUUUGACCAUUGAUUCCAUACCAACGAAGCCUUUCAACAAGUCUAAGAUGGCCGACCUUGUCAAAGGCUUUUGAAAAAUCUAAUAGGCAUACAUCUGAUUGGUACCCAUCUUUCAUGUUGGUAACAAUGUCAUGUAUGAAUUCCAGAAGCUGAGUUUCACAGGUUCUUUUACUGCGGAAACCGUGCUGGAGACUGUAGAGGAUAUUGUGACGGCUAGCAUAGGUCAUUAUGUUACUGUAGAUAAUAAUGCUCCAUGAUUUUAGAAGCUAUGCAGUCCUGUGGUUCACUGCCCUCACGAAGUGACUUCCUAAAUAUUAUGGUAAGAGGAUUGGCGAGGACAUCCCUCAAUUCCUUGAGAACUCUUGGGCUGAUUUUGUCUGGGCCUGAAGCCUUGCUUGGUUCCAGAUUGUUAAGUAAUUGGAGUACGCCAAUGGUGGAGGGGAUUAGGCCCACCCAGCCUCACCGCUGACGUCACAAUCCCUAUGACGCAAUUUCCAUUGUGUGUUAUUGUGGACAAGACUACAGUGAUAGUCGAAAGCUCAAAACAAAAAUUCACUUGCUGUAUCUGAUUCGAAACCUAAUUUCGGAAUUAAUCCACGGAAGAUGCUUAUUCUACGUCUAAACAUCUUAAUUACAUAAUGUUUAUCGAGGACAUGCGUAAACAAUGCUUUCCAUUUAGACCAUAUUUCAUUAAUAUCGACAAGAUUAGCCAGAUUCGUCCAGUCGACAAUAUUAAGGUCUUGGAGGAAGCGUAACAUGGGUCUUGGGUCAAAAGGGCAAAGGUAAUCAUUUUCCCGCUUGUAAUAUAUGAUAAUAAGUAAUAUAGAAGACAAGACGACAUGCCUUUAACUGAAUAUAUAAUA